rnacentral:rRNA from 1 species
AUUGAACGCUAGCGGGAUGCUUUACACAUGCAAGUCGAACGGCAGCGCGGACUUCGGUCUGGCGGCGAGUGGCGAACGGGUGAGUAAUGUAUCGGAACGUGCCCAGUAGCGGGGGAUAACUACGCGAAAGCGUAGCUAAUACCGCAUACGCCCUACGGGGGAAAGCAGGGGAUCGUAAGACCUUGCACUAUUGGAGCGGCCGAUAUCGGAUUAGCUAGUUGGUGAGGUAACGGCUCACCAAGGCGACGAUCCGUAGCUAGUUUGAGAGGACGACCAGCCACACUGGGACUGAGACACGGCCCAGACUCCUACGGGAGGCAGCAGUGGGGAAUUUUGGACAAUGGGGGCAACCCUGAUCCAGCCAUCCCGCGUGUGCGAUGAAGGCCUUCGGGUUGUAAAGCACUUUUGGCAGGAAAGAAACGUCGCGGGCUAAUACCCCGUGGAACUGACGGUACCUGCAGAAUAAGCACCGGCUAACUACGUG